CCAUCUUCCCUCCUCUCUCUUUUCCACUUUCCCCUCGCCUCCGCCUCCGCCAUCGCCUCCUCCCCUCUCCUCCCUCUCUCUCGUCUCCUCCCUCUCAACCCUAGCCGUCACCACCCAGUACCCACCCUCUGCUGCUCCACCGCGCACCCACCUCCCCUUGGAUCAGGUGCAGGCCGGCCGGUGCGCGCAGGCGGCGGCGCUCCACUCGAGGGCAAAGGGAGGCAACGGCGGCGGUGGCCGCCGUGGACACCCGCGGCUAUGACGAACCCCGCUGCUAGGAGGCCACCAUGGAGGCCCGUCCCGAGCUCGGCUCGCCGCUCCUCCGGUGACCCUCGUUGUGCCUGGAUCCGGGUCGGGCGGAUCUGACGAUUCCCCGACGCGCAGGCGGGCCGGCAUGCGGCCCUAGGCGGAGGAGCCCUCCCAUGGCGCCGACGGCUCUGGAGAUGAGGGCUGCACAGAGGAAGAGGAGCACCAGCAGCUCGAAGAGGAGCACCAGCAGCUCGAGGUCUAUAACGGGAUCUUGAGGAAAUCAGAUAAUGCAUUUUGGUUGUAUCAACUAUACUGAAUCUGCAAAGCCUUUUUUGUGUGCAGAGAAAUUCACCCUCUGCAUUAGUUGCAAAAGAUGCUGAUUUUGAUCAUAACAAUUAUAGUUGUUCAAGCAGUAGCAGAUUUGGCAACCUCACAGUCAUCUCAUUCAGAAUUCACGUCCUAUCCUCAACGGAGCUUAAGAUGCUGAUUUUGAUCAUAACAAUUAUAGUUGUUCAAGCAGUAGCAGAUUUGGCAACCUCACAGUCAUCUCAUUCAGAAUUCGCGUCCUAUCCUUAACGGUUAGCUUAUUAACACGUUGUGGGCACUUCAUUUGGCAUCGUCUUUCAGGCUAAAUUCUUGGAAACCGGGGAGACGGUGGCCAUUAAGAAGGUACUGCAGGACCGACGGUCCAAGAACCGGGAGCUGCAGCUUAUGCAUUUGAUUAACCAUUCCAAUGUUGUUCUCCCUCAAGCACUGCUUCUUCUCAACCACAAGUAGAGAUGAGCUGUUUCUGAACCUUGUCAUGGAGUAUGUCCUGGAGACACUCUACCGUAUGCUUAAGAACUACAGUAAUGCCAAACAAGGGAUGCCACUUAUCUACGUCAAGCUUUACACCUAUCAGGGGGCUUGCGUAUAUUCAUACUGUUCCUGGAGUCUGCCACAGGGAUGUGAAGUGACAAAAUGUUUGGUAUGUAUUAGUGAAUACUUUCUGUGUGCAUCACUUAUGCAGAGGCCAGGGUCAUCCCCUUUCUGAAGAAAAUGUGGGCAGGGCCUUUUGAUGUGAAUCAUGUUCGGUAUUCUUGUUCAGGUCUUGCUGUUCGUGGCCAUUACACUGCACACCAUCAGGCAAAAUAAGGCAACGAAGGCAUACAAGUAUAUCGCAAGGUCAAUGCUAUAUGUGUAUGUAUGUAUGGAUGGAUAGGUGCUACUGAAGUGAGAUUCCGAGAAAAUCUGCAUACAAGUAUAUCGCAAGAUAAAAUGCAUGUUUCUCAGGAGACAAAGACUGCAGUUAAUUCCGAAGGAGAAUAGCAACCUUUGCUUCUGCUAGGUUCAAUGAGCAUAUGGUAAAGGAAGGUAUCAGUGGAUUCACCAACGUAGAUUACAAGAGUAAAGGUUUAUCUAAUGAGGCCUUGUCGCGGCGCUGCAAGUGUUGCCCCCUCCUCCCCAAGGGCAAGGUGAAGGAAGGUGCCUGUGUGCUUCUUCUGCAGCUCGCAGCGAGGAUUGCUGUGUCCAACCUGCACAAAAAUGCAAAGAAGUCUUUCUCGGAGAUGUAAGCCACUGCGCAUGUAUCUGCCAUGAUUCCCUUCGGUUGGAUUUCGUGGAUUUGGGUGCUGAAAAAUUAUGGGUUAUGGAUGCAGGAUUAAGGACAUGUACCUGCACUACAAUGAGAGAUAUGGGCUUCUUUGUGGCUUCCAAACUUGAAAUGUUUGUUUGGAAGUUAGGUUAGUUUUUUGUUGUUGAUUCACAGCUUCUCACAUAUACUGUCCUCUUAGACCUUUAGAUUUCCAAAGAAACUAAAUGAAGAUACGGUGGUAUGGUCUCAAUAGUACAACUUAAAGCCUUCGCUUUAUAUUUUCUCUGAAAUUUGCUCUUGAAGAAUCAUGUAUCUAUGUUAGAUCCGGUGAGAAAAGGCGGCUUCCAAGUAGAGGAUGCGGGAGUGUUGGCCA